rnacentral:rRNA from 1 species
GUGGGGAAUAUUGGGCAAUGGGCGAAAGCCUGACCCAGCAACGCCGCGUGAAGGAAGAAGGUUUUCGGAUCGUAAACUUCUAUCCUUGGUGAAGAUAAUGACGGUAGCCAAGAAGGAAGCCCCGGCUAACUACGUGCCAGCAGCCGCGGUAAUACGUAGGGGGCAAGCGUUGUCCGGAAUGAUUGGGCGUAAAGGGCGCGUAGGCGGUCCGGUAAGUCUGAAGUGAAAGUCCUGCUUUUAAGGUGGGAAUUGCUUUGGAUACUGUCGGGCUUGAGUGCAGGAGAGGUAAGCGGAAUUCCCGGUGUAGCGGUGAAAUGCGUAGAGAUCGGGAGGAACACCAGUGGCGAAGGCGGCUUACUGGACUGUAACUGACGCUGAGGCGCGAAAGUGUGGGGAGCAAACAGGAUUAGAUACCCGUGUAGUCC